GGGCCCGCACAAGCGGAGGAACAUGUGGUUUAAUUCGAUGAUACGCGAGGAACCUUACCUGGGCUUAAAUGUAGAGUGCAUUGAGGGGAAACUUUCAUUUUCUUCGGAACUCUUUACAAGGUGCUGCAUGGUUGUCGUCAGCUCGUGCCGUGAGGUGUCGGGUUAAGUCCCAUAACGAGCGCAACCCUUAUCGUUAGUUGCCAGCGGGUAAAGCCGGGGACUCUAGCGAAACUGCCGGUGUAAACCGAGAGGAAGGUGGGGAUGACGUCAAAUCAGCACGGCCCUUAUGUCCAGGGCUACACACGUGUUACAAUGGCCGGUACAGAGGGCAGCUAUGCUGUAAAGCAAUGCGAAUCUCGAAAGCCGGUCUCAGUUCGGAUCGGAGUCUGCAACCCGACUCCGUGAAGCUGGAUUCGCUAGUAAUCGCGCAUCAGCCAUGGCGCGGUGAAUACGUUCCCGGGCCUU
rnacentral:rRNA from 1 species